GUGUAAUUGGAGGUGACUACAGAGUCAUCUGUGUGUGUGUGUGUAUUGGAGGUGACUGCAGAAUCAUCUCAGUGUGUGUGUGUGUGUGUGUGUGUAAUUGGAGGUGACUGCAGAAUCAUCUGUGUGUGUGUGUGUGUGUGUUGGAGGUGACUGCAGAAUCAUCUCAGUGACCAGGACCAAGAAUGGCGUUAAAUCACUCAUCCCUUGCUUGGUUCAAAUGCCUGACAGUGGUUUCCUGAGUACACUGAAGCUCUGGGCUGUGGAUUCUCUUCCCUUGGUUGGUUUAGUCACUAAGUCAUGUCUGACUCUUGCAACCCUAUGGACUGUAGCCCGCCAGGCUCCUCUGUCCAGGGAUUUUCUAGGCAAGAACACUGGAGUGGGUUGCCAUUCCUUCUCCAUCGCUUCCCUAAUUCUGUGCAAAAAAAAAAAAAGAAAAAGUAGUGUAGCCGCAACCUGUAGUAGCAGGGCUCCGUUUGCUGCAGCCACUUCUGAAGGCAGAAGAUAUUUCUGAAGGCAGUGUCUGAAGUUACGCACAUCCCUGAACUGUUUCUAACCUUAGACACCAAGACGAGGGAGGCGAAGGAAGAGAUAAAGAGUACAGGCUGUCAGUUUCCAGAAAAGUGCUAAAUUGUGAAACCAGGAAAGCCAAGUAAAUCCCCGCCUACUUGUAACCCAGAUUUUCCAACUUGGUAGUUUUCUGGCAGUGCAGGCCAGGUUAGUUUGGUCACCCAGUUAAUCAGUAUGUGUUGCGCCCCUAGAACAUGACGGGGACUGUCUGAGCAGGACGAUAGUCUCAGGCCUCCAGGAAGAGAGAAACAGAGAAGCAGUCACAGCAAGGACAGCGGGUGGUGAUUUGAGAGACAGAUACCUAAACGGAGAAGGCAGUGGCACCCCACUCCAGUACUCUUGCCUGGAGAAUCCCAUGGACGGAGGAGCCUGGUGGGCUGCAGUCCAUGAGGUCGCUAGGAGUCGGACAUGACUGAGGGACUUCACUUUCACUUUUCACUUUCAUGCAUUGGAGGAGGAGGUGACAGCCCACUCCAGUGUUCUUGCCUGGAGAAUCCCGGGGACAGGGGAGCCUGGUGGGCUGCCAUCUAUGGGGUCGCACAGAGUCAGACACGACUGAAGUGACUUAGCAGAUACCU
ensembl:lncRNA